rnacentral:rRNA from 1 species
CAGUCGCCGCGGUAAUCCGGAGGGUGCAAGCGUUAAUCGGAAUUACUGGGCGUAAAGCGCACGCAGGCGGUCUGUCAAGUCAGAUGUGAAAUCCCCGGGCUUAACCUGGGAACUGCAUUUGAAACUGUCAGGCUGGAGUCUUGUAGAGGGGGGUAGAAUUCCAGGUGUAGCGGUGAAAUGCGUAGAGAUCUGGAGGAAUACCGGUGGCGAAGGCGGCCCCCUGGACAAAGACUGACGCUCAGGUGCGAAAGCGUGGGGAGCAAACAGGAUUAGAUACCCCAGUAGUCCCUGUCUCUUAUAC